rnacentral:rRNA from 1 species
UCCUACGGGGGGCAGCAGUGAGGAAUAUUGGUCAAUGGGCUUACGCCUGAACCAGCCAAGUCGCGUGAGGGAAGACUGCCCUAUGGGUUGUAAACCUCUUUUGUCAGGGAGCAACGCCGGCUACGUGUAGCCGGACUGAGAGUACCUGAAGAAAAAGCAUCGGCUAACUCCGUGCCAGCAGCCGCGGUAAUACGGAGGGUGCGAGCGUUAAUCGGAAUUACUGGGCGUAAAGCGCUCGUAGGCGGUAUGUCAAGUCAAGGGUGAAAUCCCCGCGCUCAACGUGGGAACUGCCUUUGAAACUGGCA